UUGUUAAGCUAGAUGUGAAAGCCCCGGGCUCAACCUGGGAUGGUCAUUUAGAACUGGCAGACUAGAGUCUUGGAGAGGGGAGUGGAAUUCCAGGUGUAGCGGUGAAAUGCGUAGAUAUCUGGAGGAACAUCAGUGGCGAAGGCGACUCCCUGGCCAAAGACUGACGCUCAUGUGCGAAAGUGUGGGUAGCGAACAGGAUUAGAUACCCUGGUAGUCCACACCGUAAACGCUGUCUACUAGCUGUUUGUGGUUUUUUAACCGUGAGUAGCGAAGCUAACGCGCUAAGUAGACCGCCUGGGGAGUACGGCCGCAAGGUUAAAACUCAAAGAAAUUGACGGGGGCCCGCACAAGCGGUGGAGCAUGUG
rnacentral:rRNA from 1 species